UGAACCAUUGAUUUGUUUGUAGCUUCUGUAUAUGGAAUUAUGUUUUAAAAACAUAUGUCUUAAAAAAUGUCUUAAAGACAUUUUGUUUGCCUAACUCUUCCUUUCUGAAGGUGCCACUGAAAAAUUUGGCUUUCCUGAUGGGACUGUCAAAUCAUAUUCCUCCUCUUGCUUAUGGGAGAGGGCACAUUGACCCAGGCUAACCAGUUAUAAUGCCUCAUUCCUUUGUCCGUGUUGUUCAGUACAGACACAGGAACAUAACACAAACAGAGCCAAACAGAAUCCAAGCAAGGAUUUUUUCUGGAGCUCUAAGAAAAGAGAUGCUCUCUUUUCACUAGAGUAACUGGCCGUAGACCUGUGUGAGCAUAUCGCUUUCGAGACCAUCUUUGUCAGCAAAUGAAGAGGCUACUUGAGAAUGAAACCAACACAGAAAUAAGUUUCCUGAGAAUCUUGUUUGAGUCUCUGCACCCAUCUAUGCCUAAAGUGAGUUGCAUUCACAGACUGCUCUAUUAAAUGAGCCAAUAAAUUUCCUUUUUGUAUUUAUGUGUGUUUGAUUUGGAUCUUUCACACUUGGAACCAAAAGAGGUCUGACUGCUACUAAUUCACUUUUCCUGUUUCAAUUGACAGAGUCUGAGAGUCAAAUUUGCAACCCACAAGUGGACAGGAUCAUAUUGAAUGAAUGUUAAGAAAUGAGCUUAUCGGUGCAGCGGAAACAAAUCCGACUAGGAACCAUGAGAAUGGAUUCCUGCUGAGUGCCACCCAGCAGAAAUUACAACCCAUGGGAGGUCAGACAGCCAAAAUCCCACCUCACUGACACCAGAGGGGAAGAAUCAUUUGAUAAAUGCGAAUCUGAAAAACCACCUCGCUGGGAAGAGCCAAAAAAACUCAAUCACCAUCUGCGGGACUCACCAGAAGAGCCAGGAGAGGUGAGUCUCGGACCUAUGGGAUCUAGGAUUAAAUGGGGUUCCUCUUCAGGCUGCAUGCUUCUCUGAGAGCUGACGGUAGGACUUGGGUGGGAAAACCUUGGUAAAUCUCUCCGGGUUAUAUACCCUCAUCGCUGCUUCCUGAUUGCUAUUUUCUUGGGAGAUCUCAUUGAGCCCUGCUGCCUCCCUUUGCUGUUCAGGAGGAUGCUUGGGCUUGUCUUCCUCUCAGUGAGGGUGCCGUUGCAUGGGAGGGGUGUAUCUUAGCUCUUGUGUCGCUGUCUUAGCUCCCUGUAAGUGAAAGCUUCGAACGCCUCAGUGUUUCCGCUCCUCUCUCCUAAACUGCCUCCCAUUUUAUCAUAUGAUCCUCAGUACUUGGUAAGACCUUGUGGCAAAGAGUCAGUGAUAGUGUAGUCUGACUUGUUUCUGGAGUUCCUCUAGAUUAAUCUCUGCUUCCAGCUCCGCACAUUGCCUGGAAAAGUUUGUUAGAA
rnacentral:lncRNA from 1 species